GUUGAGGCGUUCGGCCAGCGUGUUCUUUUGUUUGGUCAUCAUCAUCGUGUGGUUGUGCUGCUGUUGUGGAGGCUGAUGUGGCUGAUAAGGCAGCUGCUGCAACUGCUCCCGCCGCCAACGCCGACGACGGAGCAAAGCUACGCUCCUCGGCAGCGCCACCGCGUUGAUAGUUGUACACGCCUUGAGUUCCAAAAUUUAUGUCGCCGCCUCUACUGUUGGUGUUGCUGCUGCUGCUGCUGCUCCCGGACUUGUGAUGAUUGCCACCGCCGUAAUGUUGACUGGCAGCCGCCUUGGCUUUGAGACGCUGCAGUUUAGUACCCGUGGGUUUUGGAAUCUUAGCGGCCGUAUGUGUCGACGUGUAUCUUUUUUUUUUUGAAACGAUGCAAAACUUUUCCACAAAGACGCGAAAAAAGUGUUGCACGCCAAAAAAA